GGCACCGUAGCUCAGUUGGUAGAGCCUCGGACUUCUAAGUUCUGAGAGACGCAGGUUCGAUUCCUGCCGGUUCCA
rnacentral:tRNA from 1 species